rnacentral:rRNA from 1 species
CGAGAGGGUGCGAGCGUUGUUCGGAAUUACUGGGCGUAAAGCGCGCGCAGGCGGCUCUUUAAGUCUACCCGUGAAAUGCCGGAGCUCAACUCCGUGCACGCCGGGGGAUACUGGAGGGCUGGAGACGAGUAGAGGCAAGCGGAAUUCCGGGUGUAGCGGUGGAAUGCGUAGAGAUCCGGAAGAACACCGGAGGCGAAGGCGGCUUGCUGGGCUUGGUCUGACGCUGUGGCGCGAAAGCGUGGGGAGCGAACAGGAUUAGAUACCCUGGUAGUCCACGCCGUAAACGAUGGGCACUAGACGCGGGUGGGAUCGACCCCUUCCGUGCCGCAGCUAACGCGCUAAGUGCCCCGCCUGGGGAGUACGGCCGCAAGGCUG